rnacentral:rRNA from 1 species
GAUGAACGCUGGCGGCGUGCCUAAUACAUGCAAGUCGAGCGAACGGACGAGAAGCUUGCUUCUCUGAUGUUAGCGGCGGACGGGUGAGUAACACGUGGAUAACCUACCUAUAAGACUGGGAUAACUUCGGGAAACCGGAGCUAAUACCGGAUAAUAUUUUGAACUGCAUGGUUCAAAAGUGAAAGACGGUCUUGCUGUCACUUAUAGAUGGAUCCGCGCUGCAUUAGCUAGUUGGUAAGGUAACGGCUUACCAAGGCAACGAUGCAUAGCCGACCUGAGAGGGUGAUCGGCCACACUGGAACUGAGACACGGUCCAGACUCCUACGGGAGGCAGCAGUAGGGAAUCUUCCGCAAUGGGCGAAAGCCUGACGGAGCAACGCCGCGUGAGUGAUGAAGGUCUUCGGAUCGUAAAACUCUGUUAUUAGGGAAGAACAUAUGUGUAAGUAACUGUGCACAUCUUGACGGUACCUAAUCAGAAAGCCACGGCUAACUACGUGCCAGCAGCCGCGGUAAUACGUAGGUGGCAAGCGUUAUCCGGAAUUAUUGGGCGUAAAGCGCGCGUAGGCGGUUUUUUAGUCUGAUGUGAAAGCCCACGGCUCAACCGUGGAGGGUCAUUGGAAACUGGAAAACUUGAGUGCAGAAGAGGAAAGUGGAAUUCCAUGUGUAGCGGUGAAAUGCGCAGAGAUAUGGAGGAACACCAGUGGCGAAGGCGACUUUCUGGUCUGUAACUGACGCUGAUGUGCGAAAGCGUGGGGAUCAAACAGGAUUAGAUACCCUGGUAGUCCACGCCGUAAACGAUGAGUGCUAAGUGUUAGGGGGUUUCCGCCCCUUAGUGCUGCAGCUAACGCAUUAAGCACUCCGCCUGGGGAGUACGACCGCAAGGUUGAAACUCAAAGGAAUUGACGGGGACCCGCACAAGCGGUGGAGCAUGUGGUUUAAUUCGAAGCAACGCGAAGAACCUUACCAAAUCUUGACAUCCUUUGACAACUCUAGAGAUAGAGCUUUCCCCUUCGGGGGACAAAGUGACAGGUGGUGCAUGGUUGUCGUCAGCUCGUGUCGUGAGAUGUUGGGUUAAGUCCCGCAACGAGCGCAACCCUUAAGCUUAGUUGCCAUCAUUAAGUUGGGCACUCUAAGUUGACUGCCGGUGACAAACCGGAGGAAGGUGGGGAUGACGUCAAAUCAUCAUGCCCCUUAUGAUUUGGGCUACACACGUGCUACAAUGGACAAUACAAAGGGCAGCGAAACCGCGAGGUCAAGCAAAUCCCAUAAAGUUGUUCUCAGUUCGGAUUGUAGUCUGCAACUCGACUACAUGAAGCUGGAAUCGCUAGUAAUCGUAGAUCAGCAUGCUACGGUGAAUACUUUCCCGGGUCU